rnacentral:rRNA from 1 species
GAUGAACGCUAGCGGCAGGCCUAAUACAUGCAAGUCGAACGGUAAGUAGAGUAGCAAUACUUUGCCUAGAGUGACGUACGGGUGCGUAACACGUAUGCAACCUACCCUUUACAGGCGGAUAGCUCGGGGAAACCCGAAUUAACCCGCCGUGGUAUCAUUGAAUGGCAUCAUUUGACGAUUAAAACUCCGGUGGUAAAGGA